ACAUCACAGCCCAGCAACUGCAGAUAUUCCACACUGCAGCCCUGAAGCUGUUGAUGAGAGCUGUAGAAUACGCUCUACAAAGUCUGCCUCUGAGAGACCCCUUGCUGAAGCAUGCCAGAUUUGUGGAUGUGAGGCAGAGGGCAGAAUGUUGGGUAGAGGAUGCCCUUUACUUUGUGCAGAGGUACGUCCACUGUCUCCCCUACCACAGCCCACAGGAACAUGACGCACUGGGGGAGGAGUUCUUAGACUAUCAGACGAUGCCUAUGCCUAGUUUGGCAGCAGACCCAGACAUUGAGAGCUUCUGAGCCAACAUGGCAAGCUUAAAACACAAGGUGACAGGGGUGGGCAGGUUUGAGAGACUCUCUGUUAAUGCUAAAGUGGUAUUAGUCCUGUUACACUCCAUUGCUGACGGGUAUUUGGUGGGCUGAACAAAACAAA